rnacentral:tRNA from 2 species
GGGGCUAUAGCUCAGCUGGAAGAGCGCCUCGUUCGCAUCGAGGAGGUCGCCGGUUCGAGCCCGGCUAGCUCCA